UUUUCUUUAGAAGCAAGGGUCCUUCUUAAUAGCACACUGAAUAAAAUCAGAUGAAUAAUCACACAUUACAAGAUGCCUCCUGUACGUCUCUAUAUUUAGCUACUUACAUACCAGGUUUCUUUUUUGUUUGUUUUUGUGUUUAAGACGGAGUCUCGCUCUGUCACCCAGGCUGGAGUGCAGUGGCACGAUCUCGGCUCACCGCAAUCUCUGCCUCCCAGGUUCAAGCGACUCUCCCGCCUCAGCCUCUGCAGUAGCUGGGACUACAGACCGUGCCCGGCCUACACACCAGGUUUCUAUUCACCUUCACACAACUGAUGCUCUUCUGGAGUGGAGAGUUAGUAAAAUAUGAUGGGGUCUUCAGGCACCUGAGUUGCUACUUACUAUGAGAAGAUAGAAAAUGUUUUUUACUCUAAAUGGCUUUUGAAAGAAUGAAUGCACAACAAGGCAAAAAAUAAAAACAUUUUUCCUUUUCUA
rnacentral:sRNA from 1 species